UGUGUGAAUUGUAGCUUCUGUGGACAUCUGGAGGACACUGGCCAUUUACCAUGCAAAGUUUGUGGUAGCUAAUCCCAUACUAAAAGUCUUUACAACUAAAUGAAUGGCCUCAGCUGACCCCUCAUCAGCCAGAAGCAUGGGCCUUCACCAUGAAGGCUUAGACUGUCUGUGCCAACUGGCACACCACAACCACCUUAUGGUGCAGAAAACUUCAGGGUGAAACUCUAUGCAAUGCUUUUGGACUCUACUUGAAACUAAUGGGGUGCUUUGACCACUUGAUAUGAAAAAAAGAAGUUUAAACCAGGAAACAAAGUAAAUAAGUAAAUAAGUCAAAGACUUGCUCUGGUAAUAACAAUAAAUGCAUUUCUGUGACUCCAACUUCCACCUCUUCUAAAAGGAUUGCAGCAAAAAUAUUUCUUCUCCAAUGCAUCCAACAGCCUCAGGUGCAGGUGCCCCAGUAAUGGCUAGUGCAGGAGGGGCACCAACCCCAGAACAGCAAGCUCAGGUAUUCCAGUCAAGAUGGGCGGGCUCUACAUAGACAUCAAUCUGGCCUUGCUUGCUGGUGUCGCAUCCUCAGAGCAACAGGAUUUCAGGUAUGCUCUGGCCCUGGCCUGAGCCCCUGCUGCCAGAAGGCAGGGAGAACACCACUGAAGAAAUCCUUGCACCUCUUAUGUCUGAUUUUGUCUAGUAGCCCCGAUAGUGGUGAAUGCCAACAGAACAUUGCUCCAACAUGUGAUUUCUGUGCCUUUGAGUCUGAAAGAGAUGUAUUUCCCCAGGAGGCUUGCUGAAGAGUAAAAGAAGAUGAGGCUCCUCUGGAGAAGGGUCAGUGCAGCAGGAACGUGGCAAGCUCCAUCCACCCAGGGCCACCUCCAGCCAGUCUACCUCUCGGUUGACUCCUGCACUGCUUGCAGAAACUGGGACUGGGACCAGGGCCUUGCCUGCUAAGGAAGAUGGAGAGAGAUCCUUUAAAACAAGGUUUCAUGUGUAUAUCCUCAAGUCUUGUGUUUCUUCUGAUUGAUUCUGGUUAUUCCAGAAUUUCUGCAUAUCUGUUCCAUAAGCAGAUUCACAAGUAUUCAUGGAGAAGAUCAUUGAAGGCCACCUGGGACACAUCUUAGAAAAUGAUCCCCAGGCUGAGUGUGACUUCCUGUGCCUGGCUGGCUGGCCUGGAGCAGAAUUUGAGAUCAUGGAUAGAGCCAGAGCUGCCGGGUCCAAAAGGAGGAAAAUGUUGUAAAAUGGGGGAUCUUUGUGCUGCUUCCUGCCAAGAGCUUCAAAUAUGGACUGAGCAGUGUCUCCAGGGCACACAAGAUGUUACAGACCCGCAAGAACUAUUUUCUGGAAAACAACCCAUUCAACUAAAGAAAGCCACCCUUUCUUCAUGAGCCUACACAGCAUCUCUGUAUGGCAGGAGUUGACAAAUCAUCCCCUCUCUGAAAAGAAUGAGUGGGGUCAGAAGAGCACCUCAUUUUUCAGUGAAAGGGUCACAACACGGAACCCAGAGGACCAGCUUGGAGCUUCAGUUUCAGAACAUCCUGGAGGUAGAAAGUGAGGAAGCAUCCCCAACCGCAACUUGCACACAUGCCCACAAAUUCUUGUGUGCACAAACUUCCUACUCCCACCUGAAUCUGGGCUGAUGCAGGAGUAAAGAGGGGAUCGGCAUCCCCAACCAUGAUAUUCACACCCCUCUCUGCCUCCUCUUGUUUCCUUUCCAUGAGGGGUAAAUGAGGUAGUUAGUAGAACCAGAGCUAUCUCAUCUUGGGAUGGUCAGUGCCAGAGGCCCUGAAUGAGCCACCUUGCCCAUUAGCUGUUUCAUUAUAUUAGUGGCACUACAUUUUUAUAAGACAGCAUGCCUUGUAAAAUCAGGAGCUCAUAUUCACAUAUGGAUAAAUAGUAAAAUGACUCCCACUAUAGUUUUCUUCCUCUGCAGCCUCCACAUUUUUCUAAUCACUUUGGCAGGUGAAAAUAAUUUUUUUCCCCUCUAAAUGAGCUAGAUGGGCUGGGAAUGUGUCACUUUGGAAAGAAGAUGUCUUCAUACAUGUACAAGGCAGAGUGCCAGUUCUCUCAGCCUUACCAGCUGUUCUGGGCACAAAUUCAGAGCUCUAAAAUGAUCCCAUUAGCUUAGCCUUCAUAGUUAAUAGGUGAGAAUUAGUUAACUAACACAUCUCUAGGCUAUGUUAACCCGAGAGGGUAGUUAAUUGUGUCUCAAAGGACAUGUAUUUUGCUUGUUUCUUGUUUUUAUAUGAGGAGUAUCCUUUUAAUUCUGACCUCAUCUGGAAUUCAUUUUUUCCCAUCUAAGUGUUCAGAAUAUAAAUCUCAGCCUCAAGAGAACUUGGGCACCAGAGCAGACACAGAGAGACAUAAGAGAGAAAGAAGAGAGCUGAAAAACUUCCUCCUAGAGAGGAAAGCAACAGGCAUUUUGCAGCGAGGAUUAAGAGAAAGACAGUGUUUCAAUAUCAUUGAAGGUGACUCUACUUAAAACAGAACUUUGAGCCACUGCAGCUGUGGGGACUAGAAGUCUCUGCAAUUAGUAAUUGUAACACUUUCAUCAUCCUGACACAAAAGAAAUAGAGUGAUAAGGUACUGGAGAUAUACAGAACCUGGAUUUUGAAUGAGAAAAAUUCUAAAAUGGCAAAAAUGGAGAUGAUUGCUCUAGACACACAAAAAGGUGGGUUUUAUAGUUUUGUCCCUCAAAGUUUCAUGUGUUAAAGGCUUGGUUCCCAGUUGGUGGCAAUACUGGGAGGCGGUGGGAACUUUAGGAAGGGGAACCUAGUUGAAGGGAGUGGGUUCUAAGAGGCCCUUAGGAACUUGUUUCACUUUCCUUCUGUUUCCUGGCUGCCAGGAGACAAGCAGCUUUCCUCAACCACACCCUUCCACUAUAAUGUUUCUACCUCCCCAGAGGCAUAAAAACAAUGGAACCAUGCAACCAUGAACUGAAACCUUUGAAACCAUAGGCCAACAUAAACAUUUACUCUCUUAAGUUGUUUUCCUCAGAUAUUCUGUCACAGUAACAGAAAGCUGUUUCUCAAUCCUUGUGAGGAAGAACAUAAAAUUAAUAUUAGAACCUCAGUAAAGAGAACUUUUUUCAGUCAUUCCUUUUGUUAUCUUAAAAUAAAGCCAGGUGGGAUUUAUUAUGGUUUUAAAAUGCAAUUUGUCCCCCAAAAUUUCAUGUGCUAGAAACUCAGUCCCCAGUGUGUGAUGUGUAAAAAUGGUGGAACUUAAAAGUGGGGCUGACUUCAAGGUAGUUAGGUCAUAGAGGUUCCACUGUCAUGAGUACAUUAAUGCUGUCUCUUGAAGUGGAUGGUGUCUCACAGGAGGGUAGGUCCUGCAAGAGCAAGUUGUUAUAAAAGCAUGAGUGCGGCCCUCCCCACUCUCUUUCUGCAUCUCUCAUCUUGCCACCUCUCUCUCUUGCACUCCUGCCACAUGGAGCCUUGUGUCAUCAUAUAAUACAGCCAGAAGGCCCUCACGAAAGGCCAACCAGAUGGAGCCGCCCAACCUUAGACUUUCCAAAACAGUGAGGUACAUUAAACCUCCUUCCUUUAUAAAGGACCUAACUCAGGAACUUUGUUAUAGCAACACCAAAAUGAACUAAGACAGGUGUGGGACAACUUUAAUAAUUCUUAUCAGCCAAUAUCUGGAUGAGCUGUGCUUCACUGGUAACUGUGAGUAAUGAUAUUAUAAAUCAUUCAUUGAAUAUUAUAAUGUGUUGUUCUCUGCACAAGUUACUUUACAAAUAUUGGGAUUGUUCUGCCCAACAUCAUGUAUGUAGGCAUCAUGAGGCCCC